rnacentral:rRNA from 1 species
AGGGCUCACGGAGGAUACCUAGGCACACAGAGGCGAUGAAGGACGUGGUUACCUGCGAUAAGUCUCGGGGAGUUGGAAGCACACUUUGAUCCGGGAAUUUCCGAAUGGGGCAACCCCUUGAACGACCAACUGAAUAUAUAGGUUGGUGCGAGCUAACCCAGCGAACUGAAACAUCUUAGUAGCUGGAGGAAGAGAAAGUAAAUAACGACUCCCUCAGUAGCGGCGAGCGAACGGGGAAUAGCCCAAACCGAUAGUCUUGACUAUCGGGGUUGUGGGACAGCAAUAUGGAUCAACAAUUCUAGAAGAAACGUUUGAAUGGCGUGCCAUAGAGGGUGAAAGCCCCGUAAUUGAAAGAUGAGUUGACCUAGCUGUAUCCCGAGUAGCACGGAGCACGUGGAAUUCCGUGUGAAUCUGCGAGGACCACCUCGUAAGGCUAAGUACUACUGUGUGACCGAUAGUGAAACAGUACCGCGAGGGAAAGGUGAAAAGAACCCCGGGAGGGGAGUGAAAUAGAACAUGAAACCGUGAGCUUACAAGCAAUGGGAGCCCGACUAAUCGGGUGACCGUGUGCCUGUUGAAGAAUGAGCCGGCGACUUAUAGGCACUGGCGGGUUAAACCGGAAAUGGUGGAGCCACAGCGAAAGCGAGUCUUAAUAGGGCGUUUGUCAGUGUUUAUAGACCCGAACCCUGGUGAUCUAACCAUGGCCAGGAUGAAGCUUGGGUGAUACCAAGUGGAGGUCCGAACCGACUGAAGUUGAAAAUUCAGCGGAUGAGCUGUGGUUAGGGGUGAAAUGCCAAUCGAACCAGGAGCUAGCUGGUUCUCCCCGAAAUACGUUGAGGCGUAGCGUCUAGUGCUCCAGCAGGGGGGUAAAGCAACCAUUUCGGUGCGGGCUGCGAAAGCGGUACCAAAUCGAUAUGAACUCUGAAUACCCUGUGUGUAACUAGGCAGUCAGACUGUGGGGGAUAAGCUCCAUAGUCAAGAGGGAAACAGCCCAGACCGCCAGCUAAGGUCCCAAAAUUAACGCUAAGUGAUAAAGGAGGUGGGAUUGCCCAGACAACCAGGAGGUUUGCCUAGAAGCAGCCAUCCUCAAAGGAGUGCGUAAUAGCUCACUGGUCGAGCGAUCCUGCGCCGAAAAUGAAUGGGGCUAAGCGUUAUACCGAAGCUGCGGAUAAAUUUAUUUAUGGUAGGGGAGCGUUCUAUGUUGGGUGAAGCGUUAGCGUAAGCGGACGUGGACGGCAUAGAAGUGAGAAUGUCGGCUUGAGUAGCGAAAACAUGGGUGAGAAUCCCAUGCCCCGAAACCCUAAGGGUUCCUCCGGCAGGCUCGUCCGCGGAGGGUUAGUCUGGACCUAAGGCGAGGCCGAAAGGCGUAGUCGAUGGAUAACAGGUCAAUAUUCCUGUACCAGUUAUGUUUUGGGAAGGGGGACGGAGAAGGCUAGCCAGGCCAGAUGUUGGUUACUGGUUCAAGCGUUCAAGGCUUUGAGAGAUGGAGAAAACAUCUUGAGCUGAGGCGUGAGUACGAGCUGCUACGGCAGCGAAGUUGGUGAUGUCAUGCUUCCAAGAAAAGCCCUAUACCCGUUAAGACAUAAAUGCCAGUACCCGAAACCGACACAGGUGGGGUGGUAGAGAAUACCGAGGGGCGCGAGAUAACUCUCUCUAAGGAACUCGGCAAAAUGGCCCCGUAACUUCGGGAGAAGGGGUGCCAGCGAGAGCUGGUCGCAGUGAAGAGGCGCAAGCGACUGUUUACCAAAAACACAGGUCUCCGCUAAGUCGCAAGACGAUGUAUGGGGGCUGACACCUGCCCAGUGCCGGAAGGUUAAGGAAGCUGGUUAGCUUUUAGCAAAGCUAGCGACUGAAGCCCCGGUGAACGGCGGCCGUAACUAUAACGGUCCUAAGGUAGCGAAAUUCCUUGUCGGGUAAGUUCCGACCCGCACGAAAGGUGUAACGAUUUGCGCGCUGUCUCGGAGAGAGGCUCGGCGAAAUAGAAUUGUCUGUGAAGAUGCGGACUACAUACACCCGGACAGAAAGACCCUA